UACGGAGGGUGCAAGCAUUAAUCGGAUUUAUUGGGCGUAAAGGGCGCGUAGGCGGGAUUAUAAGUCAGAUGUGAAAUCCUGGGGCUCAACCUCAGAACUGCAUUUGAAACUAUAUUCCUAGAGGGUAGAAGGGGAAAACGGAAUUCCACAAGUAGCGGUGAAAUGCGUAGAUAUGUGGAAGAACACCGGUGGCGAAGGCGGUUUUCUAUUUUACUCCUGACGCUGAUGCGCGAAAGCAAGGGGAUCAAAC
rnacentral:rRNA from 1 species